rnacentral:rRNA from 1 species
GACGAACGCUGGCGGCGUGCUUAACACAUGCAAGUCGAACGGAAAGGCCCUGCUUUUAGGGUACUCGAGUGGCGAACGGGUGAGUAACACGCGGGUGAUCUGCCCUCCUCUUCGGGAUAAGCCUGGGAAACUGGGUCUAAUACCGGAUAGGAGCCAUUUUUAGUGUGAUGGUUGGAAAGUUUUUUCGGUGUAGGAUGAGCUCGCGGCCUAUCAGCUUGUUGGUGGGGUAAUGGCCUACCAAGGCGGCGGCGGGUAGCCGGCCUGAGAGGGUGGACGGCCACAUUGGGACUGAGGUGCGGCCCAGGCUCCUACGGGGGGCAGCAGUGGGGAAUAUUGCACAAUGGGCGCCAGCCUGGUGCAGCGACGCCGCGUGGGGGAUGACGGCCUUCGGGUUGUAAACUCCUUUCGCUAGGGACGAAGCUUUUUGUGACGGUACCUAGAUAAGAAGCACCGGCUAACUGCGUG